UCAGAUAUGCAACAUUAUCAAAGUAGUAAAACCUAUGAAUCACUUGGUACCAAAUACGCUGUAGAUGUUUAUGAUGAUUUACAGAAUCCUAAAGACUUGACAUCGUCGAAAUCGUAAGUAGUUUUUGGGAUAUUC